rnacentral:lncRNA from 1 species
CCAAUAUGUAGCUAUGUGGUGUGUCCACAUUGGCGGGUUUUAAUUUAACCCGAUCCACUUAAGAUGUGGAUUGGAAUUUAUCCUAAUAAGUUUAGGAUAAGAAUAAAUCAUAUGUUUCUUAUUAGUUAAAAAACGUAUCUACUAGUGGAUAUCUAUUAUAUGUUAAUAGAUAUUCUGAUCCUUAUCCUAAUCUAUAUGAGAUUCAGGAUAUUUAGGGGUUCCGUUCUUCUAUAUAUACGCCCCCUUUCCUCUCCGGUAAAAGAGACAAUCGCAUACGAUGAACCCAUGAAAUAUCUUCCUUAUUCUCUCUCUUCUUCCUCUCUAGGAUUUCCACUACGUUCCCGGGGUUUCGGAGUGUGGACAUAGAAGAGGACUCUAGUAGCCCUCUUCGAUUGGCAUCCGUCGCAUCAGAUCCGAAAUUUGGAUCCGUGGCGUAAGGCGUACGCGUAGGAGAAGGCGAGAAACGUGGGAGAUCCAGAAGCAUCGAGACAAGGACGAUGCAAGAAGGCUUGUAAAACAAGCAAUCCGAUCCGAUUCGGGUUCCCGGAUACGUUGGCUAUCCGGUUUGUAAGUUUCCACUGUCCUAUUAUUUCCAACAAUUGGUAUCAGAGCCUGCAUGCUUGUUUUCGCCUUAUGAUCAUGUCUGUGAUGUUUUUAAGAUCGCAUUAGUUGAUCAAUUUUUUUGUAGAUUGGUUCUACAAUUUUUUAUUCAGUUUCUAUGUGAAAUCAAUUUAAAAGGAAAAGAAAAAUUAAAUUAGUUUUAAUUUUUUCUUUAAAUUGAUCAGGACAUGUGAUUUUUUUUAAUGUAUGUUAUAAUCUUUUCGUGCUUUAAAAAUAAUAAUGAUAAUAAUAAAAUCGCUGUUUUCGACCAAAGGGGGCUCAACGCGACCCGCUGCGGACGGUGGCGUACACCGCGCGGGCCCGGCCCGCUGCAGACGANGGCGCGCUGUGGGCGCAGUCUGCACCCGCGCGCACCCACUAGGGCCCGGCCCGCUGUAGGUGCGGUCUGCACCCGCGUGCACCCACGCGGGCCUGGACUGCUGCGGGAGCAGGGAGCAACCGCGCGCACCGCGCAAGUCCUGCCCGCUGCGUGCGCAGCCUGCACCCACGGGCACAGCACGGGCCCGGCCCGCUGCGGGCGCGGGCGAGCACCUGAUAGCAGUGAGUGGGGCUUGCGGGCCUGGCCCAGUCCGCCGCGAGCUGCGGGCGGGUUUGCAGGCCCGACCCGGCCUGCUGCGCGCAGGGAAGUGACCCUGUGUGCCCGGCCCGGCUCGCAGCGCAGCGUAUUUUUUUUAAAUAUAUUUUUUAUUUCCUACGUGGUUUUUUUUUGGGAUAUAUAUAUAUAUUUUUUGCUUGUAUGCCAUGCAUGUGUUGUUUGUUUAAUCUAUCCUAUGUGGAUGUUUUUUUUUCGCUUAUGCAGCGUGUGAUUGUAUAAAAUCUUUUGGCAUAUAAGUACUUAUGUUAUUUCUGUGUUCUUUCAACAAAAUUUAAUUUUGGAAAAACGGGUUCGAUGUGUGCAGUAUUCCUGUAGAACAUUCCUUUUUCUGAUGUACAUCUUGUAGUGAUGUAGUAGGUUUUAAUUAUGCAAAAGUGAUGUAGUAAUUAAGGCCAUGUAAAGGAAUGUGUUUUGCGCAGCGUCGACGUUUUUCAAAUUAAAUUUUGGCAUAAGUACUUAAUUUUUAUCUGUGUGAUGAUAAUAUGAGAUAUGUUCUUAUUAAAUAAAUAUUUUUCAAGAAAAGGAUGUGUUCUUCAAAAUGGAUGAGUUCCAACUUUUGGAUAAGUUUCAAAAUUAAUAGAAAAUUAAUAAGAUUGUAAUAUUUUGAACCGACACUGGGUGAUGAUUACAAGCAUAGCGAAGUUUUCGAUCCCGUUGUGUCGAGAAUAAUGUUUCAAUCUUAUUAAUUUUUUUUUGGAAUAUGUGCCUAAUGUCCAAACCUAUUUUUUUGAAUGUAGUGAAAUGACUUCCAAAAACAUCAUAGUCGAUCUCACCAGGGGUGAUAAGCUAGAUGGAAAGAACUAUGAUAUUUGGCAUAGGAAAAUGCAAUACCUGCUUAAUGAACAAGGGGUUCUUGAAACCCUUUCUGUCAAAAGAGUCAUGCCUGCCGAAGGCACAACUUCUGAGCAUGAAAAAGAGAUCUAUAAUAAAUGGAUUAAGGAGGAUCAAACUGCUCGGUACACUAUAUUGUGUGCCAUGCAAGAUGACCUCAUUGGACAGUUUGAGAUCUUUGAAACUGCCAAGGACAUAUGGGACAAUUUGAAGAUUACUGUUGGUCAAACUUCAUCUACGAGGCUACGUGCCUUAAAUCUCAAGUUUCUACAGUAUAUUAAAGACCCGAAAUAUUUAAUGGCUGAGUACCUCCGUGUGAUGAGCACCAUAAUUCGGGACCUUAAAAUUACUGAAAACGAGCUCAAUAAUGAGUAACAAUAAGUUCUAGCAGUGAUUUGUUCAUUGCUUGAUCCUGAAUGGUCCCAGAUGAAGUUUCUGAUGACGCAUAAUGAGAACAUUAAAACGUUUAAUGACAUCUCGCGUCAUCUCGAGUUCGAGGCAGAGCGCUUGGAAGCGAAUCGUUCUGUCGCUCUUGUUGCACGCUCCGAGAAGCGCAGUGGGAUCGCACCCAAACGCAAAAAGCAUCACAACAAUGGAGCGCAAAAGAAACGAAAUCGAGCUCCCUGUGGUGGAGUUGAAAAGCUUUGUAGAGCCAUUUUGACAGAGAUUGCCUCGAUAUUUUCUUUCAUUGUACUUUAUUUGGAUAUGGUACAUUAGUUGAUGGCUUCUUUAAAUUAGAUUUGGAGGAUGAUUCGUUUGCAUUUGCUUCUUCUUUUUCUUCUUCUUCUUCUAAUCUCUGUGAAGAAUCCGUUAAAUAGCAUGCCAGAUUAGGCCAUAUAGGUCAAGAAAGAAUGAAUAGACUGGCUCGAGAAGGCCUUUUGGGGUCUCUCGCCAAAGUUGACCUAUCUGUAUGCGAGCCUUGUCUGGCUGGGAAGGCAAGUAGAAAGCCUUUCGGUAAGGCUACUCGUGCCUCUCAUAUUUUAGAGCUAAUCCACUCAGACAUUUGUGGGCCAAUGAAUGUGAGGGCCCGGCUUGGUGCUGGCUAUUUUCUCACAUUCAUUGAUGAUUAUUCCAGUUAUGGAUAUGUGUAUUUGCUUUCUCGCUGAUCUGAAGCUUUAGAUUGCUUCAAGCAUUUUGUUGCAGAGGCUGAGAAUCAAAUAGAAAAAAGUAUAAAGGUGCUUCGCACUGACCGAAGUCGUGAGUACUUGUCUGAUCAGUUCAAGACUUAUUGUGAGCAAAAGGGCAUUAGUAGACAGCUCACUAUUCCUGGUACUCCGCAACAAAAUGGCGUUGCAGAGUGAAGGAACCGUACUCUAUUAGACAUGGUUAGGUCGAUAAUGGCGCAAGUGCAACUUUCCAUAAAUUUUUGGGGAGAUGCUNUAAAACUCUACCUUUACGUCGUGAUUCACAUUGUGAGCAAUUUUCCAAAAUCUUCGAAAUCUUGAAUUCUUCAAUCUUCAUCAAUCAGCUUCGAUCCUUCAAGACUACGACUCACUUCACGAAACUUGCCAAUACAAAGUUCUUAACACUUAUGACGCACAAUGAGAACAUUAAAAUAUUUAAUGACAUCUCGCGUCAUCUCGAGCUCGAGGCAGAGCGCUUGGAAGCGAAUCGUUCUGUCGCUCUUGUUGCACGCUCCGAGAAGCGCAGUGGGAUCGCACCCAACCGCAAAAAGCAUCACAACAAUGGAGCGCAGAAGAAACGAAAUCGAGCUCCCUGUGGUGGAGUUGAAAAGCUUUGUAGAGCCAUUUUGACAGAGAUUGCCUCGAUAUUUUCUUUCAUUGUACUUUAUUUGGAUAUGAUACAUUAGUUGAUGGCUUCUUUAAAUUAGAUUUGGAGGAUGAUUCGUUUGCAUUUGCUUCUUCUUCUUCUUCUUCUUCUUCUUCUUCUUCUAAUCUCUGUGAAGAAUCCGUUAAAUGGCAUGCCAGAUUAGGCCAUAUAGGUCAAGAAAGAAUGAACAGACUGGCUCGAGAAGGCCUUUUGGGGUCUCUCGCCAAAGUUGACCUAUCUGUGUACGAGCCUUGUCUGGCUGGAAAGGCAAGUAGAAAGCCUUUCGGUAAGGCUACUCGUGCCUCUCAUAUUUUAGAGCUAAUCCACUCAGACAUUUGUGGGCCAAUGAAUGUGAGGGCCCGGCUUGGUGCUGGCUAUUUUCUCACAUUCAUUGAUGAUUAUUUCAGUUAUGGAUAUGUGUAUUUGCUUUCUCGCUGAUCUGAAGCUUUAGAUUGCUUCAAGCAUUUUGUUGUAGAGGCUGAGAAUCAAAUAGAAAAAAGUAUAAAGGUGCUUCGCACUAACCGAAGUCGUGAGUACUUAUCUGAUCAGUUCAAGACUUAUUGUGAGCAAAAGGGCAUUAGUAGACAGCUCACUAUUCCUGGUACUCCGCAACAAAAUGGUGUUGCAGAGCGAAGGAACCGUACUCUAUUAGACAUGGUUAGGUCAAUGAUGGCGCAAGUGCAACUUUCCAUAAAUUUUUGGGGAGAUGCACUUUUGACUGCAGCCUACAUCCUUAAUCGAGUUCCUAGCAAAUCAGUGCCUACUACCCCAUAUGAGUUGUGGAACGGUAGAAAGCCAAGUUUACACUACUUACGCCCUUGGGGUUCAGCUGGAUAUGUUCACAGCCUCUCACAUAAAUUCGGGAAACUCGGCUCUAGAGCGAGCAAGCAUGUGUUCAUCAGAUACUCUGAAAAUUCGAAGGGCUAUGUGAUGUAUGGUGUACACCCAGAUGGUGGUAUGACCGAGAUUGAGUCUCGUGAUGUGGAAUUCCUAAAAGGGGAUUUUCCAAGCAUUGGUGAAAUGCGAAGAGAUGUCGCAUUGUAUGAGUUACAGGACGACGCUACCCUAUCUGCUAUUGAGGGUGAUCGAUCACUUCCCGAAGUCGCUGAAGGAAGUGGUGGCGAUCCUCCGGCUAGUGGGAGUGUUUCCUUGAAUGAGAGCAUACCCUUGGAAGUCGGCAGUUCAGACCCUCCAUUACGUAGAAGUGAACGUGGACAUAUUCCCCAUCGACAUUUUGAAAUCGAAAGGGAUAUUUUCAUGUGCACUCCGCUCGAUGAUGAUGAACCUGCUUUUUAUAAAAAAGCACUACAGACGUCAACUGGCAGUGAGUGGAUGGCUGCUAUGAAAGAUAAGAUGGACUCCAUGAGCAAGAACCAAGUAUGGGAAUUAGUUGACCUUCCGCCUGGGCACAAGUCUAUUGGAAAUAAAUGGUUUUUAAAAUUAAGCGCAAGGCAGAUGGAUCAAUCGAUAAAUACAAGGCUCGGCUCGUGGCCAAGGGUUACGCUUAGAGGCAAGGGGUAGAUUACAACGAGACGUUUGCUCCCGUUGUGCGAUUUGCCUCUGUUCGUUUGAUUCUAGCCUUAGUGGCACACCUAGAUUUGGAAUUGUUCCAAACGGAUGUCAAGACAGCUUUUCUCAAUGGAGAAUUAGUGGAGGAGAUCUAUAUGGAUCAACCUGAGGGUUUUGUACUCAAAGGUCAAGAAAAUAAAGUUUGUCGUCUUAAAAGAUCCAUCUAUGGUCUCAAGCAGUCGUCGAGACAAUGGUAUUUCAGGUUUCAUGAAGCCAUUACCUCUAUCGGUAUGUCCAUGAUAGAGGAGGACCACUGUGUAUAUGUCAAGAAGACAAAGAAUGAGAUUUUGUUUCUCUCUCUAUACGUCGACGAUAUACUAUUGGCUGGAAAUGAUAUGGAGUUAAUCAACACCACUAAGGAGUGGUUGUCUCUCAAUUUUGAAAUGAAAGACAUGGGUGAGGCGAGCUAUGUGCUCGGAGUAAAGGUCAUCCGUGAUCACUCUAGAAGGCUUCUUGGUUUGUCUCAAGAAUCUUAUAUUAAAAAGAUUCUAGAGCGUUUUAGGAUGUAUCAUUGUAAACCCAUUGAUACUCCAAUGGAGAAGAAUCAAACUCUGAGUCUUGAUCAGUGCCCUAAAACGGAUAAAGAAAAGGUGCAAAUGAGUAGGGUUCCUUAUGCGAGUGCAAUUAGCAGCUUGAUGUCCGCUAUGAUGUGUACUCGAUCUGACAUUUGCUUCGCUGUUGGUUUGGUAAGUCGUUACCAGAGCAACCCAGGACCCAUUCAUUGGCAAGCAGUUAAGAGAAUCCUUCGAUAUUUAAAAGAAACCAGUGAUCUCGUCCUAUGCUUUCAAGAUAGGGACUUGAUUUAAAGGAUAUAGCGAUACUAGUUAUGGCGAUGAGUGCAGGUCCACCUCAGGCUAUGUGUUUGGAGGCGGCGCAAUUUCCUAGUAUAGUAAGAAGCAAGGCUGCGUUACCUUGUCUACUAUGGAAGCGAAGUAUGUUGCUUGAUCAGCAGCCGUUUUAGGAGGCUGUUUGGCUGAGGAGAUUUCUUUAGUGAGUCGACUUUGUGAUUCGAGUUGAUGAACCUGUUGAGAUAUUCUCUGACAGCAUAGCUGCCAUGGAGUAUGUGAACGACUCCGAGUAUCAUGGCAGGACCAAGCAUAUUGAUAUCCAUUUUCACUACAUUCAAGAGAUGAUUAGGCUAGGCGAGGUCGUUCUUAGACAUAUCUCCACCACUAGGAUGGUGGCUGAUCCGUUGACCAAGCCGAUAGCUAGGGAUACAUUCCAGACCCACAUUAGGAGUUUGGGUCUUCGUAGGUUUUGAUAUAUGGACAUUAUUUUGUAUCUUACGCUUUAUUAUGAAAAUAUAUUUUUUUCCUUUUAAUGAGAUAGCAUAAUUGAUAUUAGUAGGCACAUAUUCGUUAAGUCACCAGGCUCAGAUCAGCCCACUCACACGGGUGAUUGCCCUGGCACCUAGGUGGUGAGCAGGAUGAGACUAGAUAAUCAUAUUACACUUUAGUAGUUGUAAUAUGAUUAUUUUGUUCAUAUAUGUUAUGAAUGAAGUGUUGAUAUAAUUUAAAGUCGUCUUAAUUAGUUUAAGAUGAGACUCUAGAGAGUUGGAUAUGAAAUUUUUUGUGGAAUUUCAUAUCGAGCCUGUUUAGUAGCCGAACCUAAGUACUCAGCUUAGAGAGAUGACUUGAGUUGUGGUGGUUAGAUACCUUAGUUGUACCUAGACCAAGGUUCGUAUGGCGUUUUAGAGCGUGACAUGGCCCAUUGACUGGGAGCUCCGCCAUAGCGUACAUAUCAUACUGUAUGUGCUUGUCGACCAGUUAGCAAAGUGACAUAAGUUCUUCCCUCCAUGUCACUGUGUGAGUACUAACCCUUUUGUGCCCUUGACUUAGAACUACAUUAUGAAGUGGAGAUCCAAAAUAACUAACUUAGUGUGUAUCUCAGGGUCAUGAGAAAAUACGAUCUCGCGGAGCAUGUCUAGUAAAGUGCUUGGACCAAUACGGAUUAACGUAAGGGGCUGAGGAAGAUGUUUCGAUAACACACCACGUAAGUCUUGUGACUCAUUGCCCGGGCGGUUAUCUCGGUUAUGUUACUUGAGAUAAUCACGAGUACGAGAAAUAACGGUGGGGUUGAGCCCUGUCAUUACAGGAGAGGAACUUUGUGAUACUUGAUUUAGUGUGUGUUGGAACGUCUAAGGCAUAGACGAAUUAAGUCAGUGAUGUGCUAUGUUAGUACGGUGGUGACUUAAUAUAGCACUCUUGCAUGUGUUUCUUUCGUCAGGUCGCACGCUCCAUUAUCCGUAUGAAGAGAUGAAUGAAUAAGAGAGAAUUGGCCAAUGUGGCCAAGUGGGAGAUUGUAGCUAUGUGGUGUGUCCACAUUGGCGGGUUUUAAUUUAACCCGAUCCACUUAAGAUGUGGAUUGGAAUUUAUCCUAAUAAGUUAAGGAUAAGAAUAAAUCAUAUGUUUCUUAUUAGUUAAAAAACGUAUCUACUAGUGGAUAUCUAUUAUAGGUUAAUAGAUAUCCUGAUACUUAUCCUAAUCUAUAUGAGAUUCAGGAUAUUUAGGGGUUCCUAUAUAUACGCCCCCUUUCCUCUCCAGUAAAAGAGACAAUCGCAUACGAUCAAAUUCGUAAGAACCCACAAAAUAUCUUCCUUAUUC